ACAAUGGAGAGUUUGAUCCUGGCUCAGGAUGAACGCUAGCGGCAGGCCUAAUACAUGCAAGUCGAACGGCAUCAGCACUUCGGUGGCUGGCGAGUGGCGCACGGGUGCGUAACGCGUAUGCAACCUACCUCUUACAGGGGGAUAGCUCCCGGAAACGGGGAUUAAUACCGCAUAAUAUCAUGGUACGACAUCGCACUAUGAUCAAAACUGAGGUGGUAAGAGAUGGGCAUGCGUCCCAUUAGCUGGUUGGCAGUGUAACGGACUACCAAGGCAAUGAUGGGUAGGGGGUCUGAGAGGAUGAUCCCCCACACUGGUACUGAGAUACGGACCAGACUCCUACGGGAGGCAGCAGUAGGGAAUAUUGGUCAAUGGGCGAGAGCCUGAACCAGCCAUGCCGCGUGCAGGAAGACGGCCUUCUGGGUUGUAAACUGCUUUUACCAGGGAAGAAAACGUCCAUGCGUGGAUAAUUGACGGUACCUGGUGAAUAAGCACCGGCUAACUCCGUGCCAGCAGCCGCGGUAAUACGGAGGGUGCAAGCGUUGUCCGGAUUUAUUGGGUUUAAAGGGUGCGUAGGCGGUCAUGUAAGUCAGUGGUGAAAGACGGCAGCUCAACUGUCGCAGUGCCAUUGAUACUGUAUGACUUGAGUAUAGUUGAGGUAGGCGGAAUUUAUGGUGUAGCGGUGAAAUGCAUAGAUACCAUAAGGAACCCCGAUAGCGUAGGCAGCUUACUAAACUAUAACUGACGCUGAGGCACGAAAGCAUGGGUAGCGAACAGGAUUAGAUACCCUGGUAGUCCAUGCCGUAAACUAUGAUUACUCGAUGUGUGCGAUACACAGUA
rnacentral:rRNA from 1 species